GCAUAGAACUAGCGAGAUCUGCGAAUUGCAUAAUCGAUGGCAGCGGCUCUUGGAUUUGCUGCGAGAAGGAUGUGCAGUCGUGCCCUUCAGCGACCACCGCAGCCGUAUUUUUCGGCGGUCGCCUAAGUUGCCAUCAAGGGGGAACAGCGGGGGCUGUUGCCGAGGGUUAGCCAUGGCGGGAGCUCUCUUCGCCGGUUCUCCGCAGAAUCUCAAAGUCACUUGAAGAAUAGCGAGCAUGGAGCUGUAUCCACCGCAAAUCCGGUCGGGUCUUCUCCAUUAACCAAUAAUGCACAAACCACGCCCCCUCCACCACUAUGGUCGCCUAGGAACAAAAAGUUUUUACCCCUUGCUGCUGGGUACUUCACUUUUGUGUGUGCAGCAAUGUCAGCAGUACUUUACUGGGAUACUCGCCCUCUAGUAUUGGACACUGAGACGAAGCAGUCUGAUUAAUGUUCAACCUUCGAAGACCUAUGCUUCGGAAAAAGCAGAAUAAGUGGAGUUGUUGCGGAUGUAAGAACUGUUAUUAAAGUAUUCCUAGUUGCUGAUGUAAGGACUGUUAAAGUGAUUCUAGUUGCGGAUGUAAGAACUUUG